CCUACGGGAGGCAGCAGUAGGGAAUAUUGCUCAAUGGGGGAAACCCUGAAGCAGCAACGCCGCGUGGGGGAUGAAGGUUUUCGGAUUGUAAACUCCUUUUGUUAGGGAAGAUAAUGACUGUAUCUAACGAAUAAUCACCGGCUAACUCCGUGCCAGCAGCCGCCGUACUACGGAGGGUGCAAGCGUUACUCGGAAUCACUGGGGGUAAAGAUCGCGUAGGCGGGAUAGCAAGUCCGAAGUGAAAUCCCAUGGCUGAACCACAGAACUGCAUUUGAAACUGUUAUUCUAGAGUAUGGGAGAGGUAGGUGGAAUUCUUGGUGUAGGGGUAAAAUCCGUAGAGAUCAAGAGGAAUACUCAUUGCGAAGGCGACCUGCUAGAACAUAACUGACGCUGAUGCGCGAAAGCGUGGGGAGCAAACAGGAUUAGAUACCCCAGUAGUC
rnacentral:rRNA from 1 species